rnacentral:rRNA from 1 species
AGCCGUAGGGAAACCGAGUCUUAACUGGGCGAAUGAGUUGCAGGGUAUAGACCCGAAACCCGGUGAUCUAUCCAUGGGCAGGUUGAAGGUUGGGUAACACUAACUGGAGGACCGAACCGACUAAUGUUGAAAAAUUAGCGGAUGACUUGUGGAUGGGGGUGAAAGGCCAAUCAAACCGGGAGAUAGCUGGUUCUCCCCGAAAGCUAUUUAGGUAGCGCCUCGUGAACUCAUCUUCGGGGGUAGAGCACUGUUUCGACUAGGGGGUCAUCCCGACUUACCAACUCGAUGCAAACUGCGAAUACCGAAGAAUGUUAUCACGGGAGACACACGGCGGGUGCUAACGUCCGUCGUGAAGAGGGAAACAACCCAGACCGCCAGCUAAGGUCCCAAAGUCAUGGUUAAGUGGGAAACGAAGUGGGAAGGCUCAGACAGCCAGGAUGUUGGCUUAGAAGCAGCCAUCAUUUAAAGAAAGCGUAAUAGCUCACUGGUCGAGUCGGCCCGCGCGGAAGAUGUAACGGGGCUAAACCAUGCAC